GCAGUAUCUAACCGGCAGAAGAUGAGCACAGAUGUGGAUCAUUAGCUACAUUGAGGUGACAGUACUGGGCAUGAUGGAACAAUAUUGCUAACAGCUUGAUGCUUGUAGCUUCCUCCAGGGCUGGGAGCUGUGUCCCGACGAUCUUCUGUGCGCUAGAGCCGACCUGCUGACGUGCUUUCCUAUCAGCAUCUGUACAACUGAGAUACCACCCAGAGACGCAGUAUGUUAAGAUGCUCUCUAUGGUGCAGAGGUAAAAGGUCACCAGCAUCUGUUCAGAUGCAAGUGGUUUAUUAUUACCAUAGCACCGAGUUGGCAGGCGCUCAAGAAAAACCCCCGAUAAGUAUCCUUGCAAUGCAGGAGCACAUCAGCAAAAGGUUGCUUGUCCGGCUGUGUCCUUAUCACUGGCAUCUUUCCAGGGGCUCAUUUGUCCAUGGAAAUUUUGGGAUUGAAAUCAUUUAAGAGGAGCAGUUUGUCAUGCGUCAUGGAUUGUUCAAGAAUGUAGUAGAAUUCCUUUACGGCCUUGCCCACUGCUUCCAACGUAGCCAAGUAUGUAUUGUUGUCUUUGGCAUGCCAAUUUAACAAUAAAGUGAGCCAGAGGAUCAUGAGACAUCUAUUUAUUCUUCAAAGGAGUCACUGAGAUGCAAAACUAGAUCAUUCUUUAUGGCAAGACAAUCCAAAAACAGCAAUGUUCUUCUUUCAUCUUGACUUUCCAGCAGAGUGCAUCCACCCACCGUUUUGGUUGCAGUGGCCUUCUCCCGCCCACUACUGUCGCUCGGGGCAACAAUGAGGACUGAUGUUCAGUACUGCCACUGUUGGGUGUUGUCUAUAAUUCUGCUCUUCAUUCUGAAGAGCAAGAUGCCCGUGAAUGGUUUCUUUUUAUGUAAAGUGGUGUUGGAGUGGGCUGUAAAACUGUUAAUUUUCUUGUCGUGUAGCUUUCUUAUCCUUGUUUGUAUUUUUAUAUAAUCACACGUAAUUGUUCAGAGAUUUUCAGUGGUUAUGGUUGCCUCCGCAUUUUCCUGGAAAUGUUGGUUUCAGUCGGUGUUACGUUGCUUGAUUCUGGCUAUUUCGCUUAUUAAUAUUAUCAAU